AAGUCGUAACAAAGGUUUCCGUAGGUGAACCUGCGGAAGGAUCAUUAUUGAAUACGAUUGGUACUGAUGCUGGCUCUUCACUGGGCAUGUGCUCGUCCAUCUUAUUAUCUUCUCUUGUGCACAUUUUGUAGUCUUGAAGAACUCCGCGCAUUCAUUUGUUGCGGGCUGGGAGAUGCUAACCCUUCUCUCGUUGCCUUUGUGCAAGCCUUGGGGGUUGUUAACCCUUCCCCCGCUUCUUCAAGACUAUGUUUUCAUAUACCCUAUAAAGUUACAGAAUGUCUUUUAACGACUGCUUGCAGUCAUUAAACCUAUACAACUUUCAGCAACGGAUCUCUUGGCUCUCCUAUCGAUGAAGAACGCAGCGAAAUGCGAUAAGUAAUGUGAAUUGCAGAAUUCAGUGAAUCAUCGAAUCUUUGAACGCACCUUGCGCCCUUUGGUAUUCCGAAGGGCAUGCCUGUUUGAGUGUCAUUAAAUUAUCAACCUUGCUCGCUUUUACUAGCUUGAGUUAGGCUUGGAUGUGAGGGUUUUGCUGGCUUUCGUGGUCUGCUCCCUUUAAAUGCAUUAGUGGGAUCUAUUGUGGACCGUCACUUGGUGUGAUAAUUAUCUAUGCCUUGGGACUUUGAAACAAACUUAUUAGAAUCCGCUCAUAACCGUCCUCACGGACAACUAUUGACAAUUUGACCUCAAAUCAGGUAGGACUACCCGCUGAACUUAA
rnacentral:rRNA from 1 species